rnacentral:rRNA from 1 species
ACCAAGGCGAUGAUGCAUAGCCGAGUUGAGAGACUGAUCGGCCACAUUGGGACUGAGACACGGCCCAAACUCCUACGGGAGGCAGCAGUAGGGAAAUCUUCCACAAUGGACGCAAGUCUGAUGGAGCAACGCCGCGUGAGUGAAGUAAGGGUUUCGGCUACGUAAAGCUCUGUUGUUGGUGAAGAAGGACAGGGGUAGUAACUGACCUUUGUUUGACGGUAAUCAAUUAGAAAGUCACGGCUAACUACGUGCCCAGCAGCCGCGGGUAAU